GACGAACGCUGGCGGCGUGCCUAAUACAUGCAAGUCGAGCGAAGAGGCGGAUGGGUGAGUAACGCGUGGGUAACCUGCCCUUAAGUCUGGGAUACGAUUUGGAAACAGAUGCUAAUAACGGCUACUAAAGGAUGGACCUGCGAUGCAGUAUCUAGUUGGUAAGGUAACGGCUUACCAAGGCGAUGAUGCAGAGCCGAGGUGAGAUACUGAUGGGCCACAUUGGGAUUGAGACACGGCCCGAACUCCUACGGGAGGCAGCAGUAGGGAAUCUGCCACAAUGGACGAAAGUCUGAUGGAGCAACGCCGCGUGAGUGAAGAAGGUUUUCGGAUCGUAAAGCUCUGUUGUUGGUGAAGCGGUAAUCAACCAGAAAGGCACGGCUAACUCCGUGCCAGCAGCCGCGGUAAUUC
rnacentral:rRNA from 1 species